GACGACUUGACUGUGUCUAGCAUCAACAGAAAAGCCACAGUAUUACAAUGGAGGGACUGCUGAUGUAAGCAGCACAAGUGUAGAAGUUAGACAAGAUGCUCCUAAACCUAACGGUGUCACUGGACCUGGUGUUGCGGCAAACAGUGUUGAGGACCAGGAGGAGGAUGAGAGCUCAGAUGAAGGUCUGAAAAAAAGAAUUGUUCCUCCUCCUCCUCCUCCUCCUCCUCC